UGAACGCUAGCUACAGGCUUAACACAUGCAAGUCGAGGGGCAGCAUGGUCUUAGCUUGCUAAGGCCGAUGGCGACCGGCGCACGGGUGAGUAACACGUAUCCAACCUGCCGUCUACUCUUGGACAGCCUUCUGAAAGGAAGAUUAAUACAAGAUGGCAUCAUGAGUCCGCAUGUUCACAUGAUUAAAGGUAUUCCGGUAGACGAUGGGGAUGCGUUCCAUUAGAUAGUAGGCGGGGUAACGGCCCACCUAGUCUUCGAUGGAUAGGGGUUCUGAGAGGAAGGUCCCCCACAUUGGAACUGAGACACGGUCCAAACUCCUACGGGAGGCAGCAGUGAGGAAUAUUGGUCAAUGGGCGAGAGCCUGAACCAGCCAAGUAGCGUGAAGGAUGACUGCCCUAUGGGUUGUAAACUUCUUUUAUAAAGGAAUAAAGUCGGGUAUGGAUACCCGUUUGCAUGUACUUUAUGAAUAAGGAUCGGCUAACUCCGUGCCAGCAGCCGCGGUAAUACGGAGGAUCCGAGCGUUAUCCGGAUUUAUUGGGUUUAAAGGGAGCGUAGAUGGAUAUUUAAGUCAGUUGUGAAAGUUUGCGGCUCAACCGUAAAAUUGCAGUUGAUACUGGAUAUCUUGAGUGCAGUUGAGGCAGGCGGAAUUCGUGGUGUAGCGGUGAAAUGCUUAGAUAUCACGAAGAACUCCGAUUGCGAAGGCAGCCUGCUAAGCUGCAACUGACAUUGAGGCUCGAAAGUGUGGGUAUCAAACAGG
rnacentral:rRNA from 1 species